CUGGGUCCGUGUUUGCUGUGUGCCACGGUGUGGAGCACCCCACGGUGUGAGCUCUUGGUCUUCAGAGCAGAGCGUUUGAUGCCCUGCCCCACCACUCAGCUGCAGGGGCUUAGAACCGUCCCUCCCACCGCACAGAUAUGAGCUUGAGCCUGUGCUGCAAACCUUGGAAGCCUGGGCUUGAGUCUGCUUUCUAAGUAUGGGAAGGACAGAGACUGUGCUUCAUGACCAGGCAUGCUUGUUGCUGCACAAUUUCCAAGCCAUUUUCCAGCCGUUCCUGGAGGAACCCAGGGUUUCCCCCUGGUACCUCGGGCUUGAAACAUCAGCCCUAAGAAUAGGCUCCUGGUAAAGAUGCCAGCUUCUCACUCUUAGGCCAAGGGUAAGAUAUAACCUAACAGGAGCAAACCACCAUGCCAACAGGCUGAUGCCAGCAGUAGGCAGAGGGGCUGUGACCAGAGGAUCCUUGUGGGCUCACUGCCAAGAGGUGGGUGGGAUAGCAGGAACACUAGUCUCUUCUGUCUGUCACCAAGCAGAUGCCCAUCACUAGAGAACAACAGACCAGAGCUGUGCCAGCCUGUCCUCACAGAGACCACCCCUGACCUGGCUGCCUUUCCCUCCAGUAGCUAAGCAGCCUAACCGUCACACCGUCUCUCCUCCAGACGAGUGCUUUAAACCAUGUCAUCUGCAGAGACUUCCAGCAUGGAUUAGGACAGGCCUCAGUAAGUCGUGGCCAGUGCGAGACAGGUUCUGCCUGGCUCAAGUAGCCUGGUCUGCAGGAAGACGGCACAUCUGGUUCCCUGCGUGGGGAGAAAGCAGCAGUGUGUGCUGUCCCUCUACAUACCCUGAAGCAUGUCCUCACCACACCCUGAUUGGUGGAGGAGAAGUGAACCCCAGGAAGGGUCGGGCUCCCUGGCUGGUAGCCCCCUACCUAUAGUGGCUCCUACCACCCUGUCUGUGGGGCUUUGGGCCACAGCCAUGGGAAAGGAACUGGGAAUUCUGACUGGACUCGGACAGGAAGGGAAGGGAGGAGGGUUGGGAAAGUCUCAGAAAGGACUCUGGGUUCUCUCUCUCAGCUGCUCCUGUAGAAUUAGAAGAUUUUGAAGCAUUUAUUUUUAAUGGAAUUUGCAUCAAAAGAAUGAAAUGAUGAUAUCCUACCAAGUCAUCCUUGCUCGUGGUAAGCAGAAAUGGCAUGGCUGUUUCUAAACUUGAGCCAUCCCUUUCAACUGCAGAGAAGGCUCAGCAGGAUCCAUUCCAGGCCAGUGCCCCGUUCCUACCAGCGUCUCUCCUGACCAUGGUUCAGCAGGACAUGGCCGCACAAGCCCGGUGGGCAGCCACAAGCGCUGCUGUGAUGUGCACAUAGGGACCUCUGUCCUCCACAGCAUUGCCUUUGUCACGGCUGUCUCUCCAAAGCAGCCAGCUCUUGCCCAGUGAGCAGCAGAAAGCGUGCUCAGGAGCUUGGGAUCGGAAGACCGGAAGGACUCCUGUGCAGGCCUCAUGCUCCAGUUCAGCUCACCACCAGCCCAGUGACCAGACAGUAUGAAAAGGAAGGUGACCACGUGCAAGCUGGGGAAGUUUCGCAGGACAGGGUGGGCUGCCAAGAACCUUGCCUCUUGGCACUGGUGUGUGUCCAGCAUCCCUUGGCUGGGAUGCUGUAGCUCUAAUGGGACGACUGGCCAGAGAGAGAAGCCUUGCUUUGGAGGUUGAGACAGUUGGGAGUGUCCAUGCCCUGUUUUCAAGGAUGCCCAGAAGGCCAAAGAAGCUGGAGUACACAGUCACCAGAGUGUGUCCUCAGCAGCUGAUGAUGGCCCUUGAAUCCUGGCUGGCACACGUGUGUGUGUGUGUGUGUGUGUGUGUGUGUGUGUGUGUGUGUAGAUACACGGCCCUUCUGCAGACAGCUCAUACUACCAAACCUGCUUAUUUCAGUGCCAUGAGAUAAAAUAGGCUUGAGUUAAAUACUGAGCUCUAAAGACUGAACAGGGAUGGGUACCAGAUCUCUUCCCACCUGUUGUGGGUUCACUUAGUGUCUCCUGUGUAGUAACCUUCCCUAGCCACUGCCAGGAUGGAGGACCCGGGAGGCUAGGGGACCCCUAACAGAGACUGUCUGUUUCAAGGCAUUCCACGAAGGCUGUCCACCAUGGAGGUGACAAGCCAGGCCACGUGGCUUGGCUAUGUAGUCCAGUGGGUGUGUGCCCUGUGGGUUCUGAUUUCUUCGUUCCUCUUCCUCCUCCUCUUCUUCUUUUUGGUUUUCCAAGAUAGGGUUUCUCUGUGUAGCCCUGGCUCUCCUGGAAUUACCUCUGUAGACCAGACUGGCCUCGCACUCACAGAGAUCCGCCUGCCUCUGCUGGGAUUACAGUAGGUCUUCCCUUGCUGCCCACUGUCUGUAUGAGAUAACCCGUGAGAGAAGUGUAGGUUUCUAAACCUGGUGGAGUUUCCAUCUUUAAGAGGCUGGAGGAGCAAAGCCUCACCUCGUUCCUGACCUACACUUCAGUGCUGAAGUCUCUGGAGGCUCAGCAGCACGGCAUGCAAAGCAUGGAGACAGCUGUGAGGUUUGCCCAGGGGUGGGAGGCUUUGGGAAGGUGGGGGUUGUAGAGUAGGGAUGGUGACUGGACAAGGCUGGGCACACGGCAGAUGGAGCCCAAGUCCUCAGGAUGCAUGGCGGAACACAUGGCUCCAGCUAGAGAGAUGCUGGAUUGCGAGGACUGGGAAAAAGCAGUGAAAGUGUCACCAUGCUGACGAAUGCAGAUGUCUCCUUUAAAGUCGCAGAUGGCCUUUGGCCUGUUUUACUCAGCACUGUUUGACAAAACCCCUCCUAAAUCAACCAAGAAGCCGACUUUGUGUAUAGGAGACCACAGCCUUCCUGCUUCCUUCCUCCCAUUUCUUUCUCCACAGAUCAGACGUGCACACAAGCAGAAACUCUGAAAACUGGACAGCUUCCUCUCUGUUUACCUCGUCUCUGCCUCAGCCAAUCACUGUAAGAACUCCCAUUCCUACAUUUACCCCCAGCAGAGGCAUCUCCACCAUGGUCCAGCAAGCACACAGACCAGCACCCUGCCCCGGAGCAGCAAUGGUGCCCUUCACAAAUUCCAAAGUCUGUGACACCCAAGUCUGUGUAGGAGAUGGUGCCCCUUAGGACACCUUCAGAUCCUCCCACCCUCACUUCUCUGGAGUUGGGACGACAGACAUGCACCACUGCACCUGGAUCCACAGUGCUGGGUGCAUCCCCUGCCUCCCCUCAUUCCUAAACCAUCCCUAGGCUCCCUGCACGAGAUGAUGUAGACUGGAAAUGGUUGAAUGCUGUGUUAAGUGGGAAUGAGGAAGAAAAAAGUUUGAAGGAGGUCAGUAAACACAUUCUUUUAAGGCAUUUCUAUUGCAGUUAGUCGACUCCUCGGGUAAAGAAUCCAUGGACACAGUAGUUACACAUUUGGAUUAUUUUCAUGCAAUAGACACAUUUGGUUCACGUACGCACUUUGUCGGAGUCCUCUGUUCCAUCACUGGUCUCUUCUGUAACUGGGCAGGAAAGCUGUUUUCAUCUGUUAGCCACAUGCUAACCUGGAUGACAGAGCCAGGCCUUGGGUAUGCUUUCCUUCCUGAGCUCUGCUCACCUCACUUAGCAGGGCUUUCCCCAAUGUUAGCUACUCCCUAGAGCCCUGGUUCUGUGUAUGCAGGUACUAGCAUCUGAGGGAACUCCAGUGUGCUUGCCGCUGGAAUCCAGGGCAUGUGAGAUGGGAAAGGACACCUGAAGAGCUGUGUAUUACAGGGAGGACAGACUAUAAUUUAGAUUUUAGUGGUUUUAUUGUAAAAUAUUCACAGCAUAGAAUUCACUGCUUUGCUGUUUUGGGAGCAGACGUCAGUGCUGGUGAUACCACCAUCUGUAUUCUGAACUUCCUCUUACCAAACAGAAUCUCAUUUGUACUCUGAUAGAAGACUAACUUCAUCCCCUGCUCUCCCAAGUCCCUGGAGGCACCUCUAGACUAUCAUGAGCGUCUCUGUUCUAGGGAUGGUGUGUGAAUGCUGUAGUGUUCUUUAGUAUCUGUCUAGCCAGUCUAGCUUAGCUAACAUCUUCCAUAUUGGAAUCUGUGAGGUUUUCAUUAUUAAGAAUUUUUUUAAAAGAUUUAUUUAUUUAUUACGUAUACAGUAUUUUCAGUAUUCUGUCUACAGGCCAGAAGAGGGCACCAGAUCUCAUUACAGAUGGUUGUGAGCCACCAUGUGGUUGCUGGGAAUUGAACUCAGGACCUUUGGAAGAGCAGGCAGUGCUCUUAACCGCUGAGCCAUCUCUCCAGCCCCCCAUUAUUAAGAAUUUUGUAUUUAUAAUUAUCCUGCACUGUGGAGGUGAGAGCGGCACUCGUGAGAGAUCAGAGGACAACUGAGUGGUCUCGGGUCUCUCCGACUCACCAUGCCAGGCGUGUAGUGCCUUCAUCUGCUGAGCCAUCUCUUGUGUAAACGUGACUGGCUGUCGUGUGUGUGCAGUGCACACUGUAUCACCCCGGUCAGUGAGUGGACACCGGUGUACAGGUCCCACCCGGAUGCUCACUUCACCUUCUUUGGGGUAAGUGAACACAGGUGGAUUCUGGAUGCGACUGUUACCGUACUGUUUCUAGGAGAUGUGCACUCAAGUUUAGCACGUGUUGACUUGCAGUCAACAAAGGCAGUGACUCCCUGCCUGUCAAAGCCUUUCUACAGCCCUCCAGCACACUGUGGAGCUAUAACUCUCCUCGCUUGCAUUCUCUUAACACAACGGUAAGUCCCUUUCCAGUGUUUAGAAAGUGUUUGUAUUUUCCCAUCAUGUUCAGUGUUUUGUGCUUUCUCAGUCUCUUGGGUUGGUGGCCAUUUCUUACUGAUUUGUCUAAGAAAUUUCAAAUUUAGAGAAGUGACUUUGUUUGUUUUGAGGCAGGAUUUCUCUGUGUAUCCCUGGCUGUCCUAGGAUUCACUCUGUAGACCAGGCUGGCCUUGAAACCCAGAGACCUGCCUGCCUGGCUGGAGCAGUGGUUUUUGGUCCUAUGUGGCCUGUGCUUUUUCCAGGUCAUUGUAGUCAGGAGGCUUUCUUUUGUUUAUGCAAACAGCCAGUUUUAUCAGUCUUCUGUAGAGAGGACAACCAGGUGUGGCAUCUGGAACAUCUGAUGUAUUGGUCCACAACACUGAGGGAGGGGUGCUUCUAGCUCAGCCCUACAGCAAAAUACAGCAACCACAGUACUGGUUACACCUCAUUUAAGAACUUCUUGCCCAUAUCCCUCUGCCCAUCCCUCUGUGCUGCUGGGCUGCUUCCUGGAUCUGGGAGAGCCAUGGGGGCCUCCCUAGCUAUAGAUCUUCCUGUAUUCUAGGCCACAACUGUGGUAUCAGCUCAGGACCUGCCUUUCUGCCACAACAGAACGGGAACAAGGCCUUUGUCCUUAGGGCCUGAGCUAGAGCUGCACAGCAGGUCUGCAGGUCUGCAGGGCAGGCAUGCACACCCAGGCUCUGAUGACUUUCCCACCCCUGUGGACCUGAUGCUGUGUGUGGACCACUGAGGACAGUGCCAGUCCUUUCUAUCUACAGAAAGAACGGACAGUAACUCUGUCUGAGGUGUGUGUGGUUAUAAUCAAGUUUGGCUUACACGGAACACGAAACCCAACUCUGAGGACACACACAUCUCUCUGGAACAGAACCCCAGCUUGUCCUGAAGAGCGUCUGCCAAGCACGACAUGAAGACCUGAAGAGCAGCGAGCACCUCUGGGGCUCCGUCAGUCUCCAGCAGCACAGACCUGGAGAGAGCAAGGACUAGCUGCCUGGAGAGCAACACCCUCGGUCGGAAUCACCAGAGGGAUGAGGAAUCAGAUGUCUGGAGAGAUGGCUCAAUGUUAAGAGCACUUGCUGCUUUUCCAGAGGAGUUGAAUUCAACUGCCAGCCUCCAUAUCAGGCAGCUCACAACCCUCUGCACCUCUGCGGGCACCUGCACCCAUCUGCAUAUACCCACACAGACAUGCAAACACCUACAGAUAAUUACAAAUAAUAAAUCUUUAAAAAUUC